UACGUAGGGGGCAAGCGUUGUCCGGAUUUAUUGGGCGUAAAGAGCGUGUAGGCGGCCAUGUAGGUCCGUUGUGAAAACUCGAGGCUCAACCUCGAGACGCCGAUGGAAACCAUGUGGCUAGAGUCCGGAAGAGGAGAGUGGAAUUCCUGGUGUAGCGGUGAAAUGCGCAGAUAUCAGGAAGAACACCCGUGGCUAAGGCGGCUCUCUGGGACGGUACUGACGCUGAGACGCGAAAGCGUGGGGAGCAAACAGG
rnacentral:rRNA from 1 species